rnacentral:tRNA from 1 species
GCGCCUGUAGCUCAGUUGGAUGAGAGUGUUGGUUUCCGAAACCAAAGGUCGGAGGUUCGAAUCCUCUCAGGCGCG